CCCUUAGAUGUCCUGGGCCGCACGCGCGUUACACUGAUGCAUUCAACGAGCUUAUAACCUUGGCCGAGAGGCCUGGGCAAUCUUGUUAACGUGCAUCGUGAUAGGGAUAGAUUAUUGAAAUUAUUAAUCUUGAACGAGGAAUUCCUAGUAAACGCAGAUCAUCAAUCUGCAUUGAUUACGUCCCUGCCCUUUGUACACACCGCCCGUCGCGCCUACCGAUUGGAUGGUCCGGUGAAGCCUCGGGAUUGUGGUUCUUGCCGCUUUGUUGUGGCGUGACCGCGAGAACUUGUCUAAACCUUAUCAUCUAGAGGAAGGUGAAGUCGUAACA
rnacentral:rRNA from 1 species